GUGAUUGUUUCAGCAGCACAUAUACUAAAAUUGAAUGAUACAGAGAAGAUUAGCAUGGCCCCUGUGUAAGGAUAUCAUACAGAUUCAUGAAGAGUUCCAUAUUUUU
ensembl:snRNA U6 U6 spliceosomal RNA